rnacentral:sRNA from 1 species
CUACGGCUGCGGCGCCUUUGUGAGCGCGGCUGGCGGCCAGGAUCGAGCCCUGGCCCGGGCCCUGGCCCAGCCCCGGCCUCCAAGGACCGCACAGAAGGAGGUGCCCACCGGAGGGAGGAGGCGCUCGACUUUCUCAGGAUACUGUCCCUCUCCCAGAGAGGAGCUGAAGGAGUAGGACAGAAGAACUGUCAAAUUCUGGAAUCCUUAAAGCCAUGUCCAAGGAUUUGGUGACAUUUGGGGAUGUGGCUGUAAGUUUCUCUCAAGAGGAAUGGGAAUGGCUGAACCCUGCUCAGAGGAAUUUGUACAGGAAAGUGAUGUUGGAGAACUACAGGAGCUUGGUAUCAUUGGGUAAGGACAUCUCCCCUUAAUUCAGAAUCUGCACAUGGGACUGAGCUCCAAUGUAAUAUUUGGGAAACCUCUGACAUGCUUCACUAAAUUUCCCUUUCUUGUGCUUCCCAAAACAGGUUGAAUUUGUAGAAUUGACAGCUUCAUCUUCCCCAUUCUUAUUCCUCAGCUCCCUCCCAUUAUUCUCCCACCUUCUUGAUGAUGCAGAAACUUGAUCUUAUUUAUAGACCUGCCUAAUUCCCCUUUUGUUUUUUGUAAGCAGGAGUUUCUGUUUCUAAGCCAGAUGUGAUCUCAUUAUUGGAGCAAGGAAA